CAAUAGCGUAUAUUAAAGUUGUUGCGGUUAAAAAGCUCGUAGUUGGAUUUCUGUUGAGGAAGGCCGGUCCGCACUAUGUGCGUGUAUCUGGUUCUGCCUCGGCAUCCUCUCGAAUGCCGGGCUGCGCUUAAUUGCAUGGGUCGGACUCGGGACUUUUACUUUGAGGAAAUUAGAGUGUUCACGGCAGGCAAGCGCCAUGAAUAUAUUAGCAUGGAAUAAUGAUAUAGGAUCUUGGUCCUAUUUUGUUGGUUUCUAGGGCUAAGAUAAUGAUUAAUAGGGACAAUUGGGGGCAUUCGUAUUAACGCGUCAGAGGUGGAAUUCUUGGAUUGCGUUACGACGAACUACUGCGAAAGCAUUUGCCAAGGAUGUUUUCAUUGA
rnacentral:rRNA from 1 species